UACGUAGGGUGCAAGCGUUGUCCGGAAUUAUUGGGCGUAAAGAGCUCGUAGGCGGUUCGUCGCGUCGGCUGUGAAAACCUGAGGCUCAACCUCAGGCCUGCAGUCGAUACGGGCGGACUUGAGUACUGCAGGGGAGACUGGAAUUCCUGGUGUAGCGGUGAAAUGCGCAGAUAUCAGGAGGAACACCGGUGGCGAAGGCGGGUCUCUGGGCAGUAACUGACGCUGAGGCGCGACAGCGUGGGGAGCAAACAGG
rnacentral:rRNA from 1 species